GCUGAGUGAACUUGCAGUUCUGUAAAGUUAUUCGAGAUAACUGCAAAUGGUAGUCCCAAAACCGGAAGAAUUUUGUCUGUCAUCUUUACUACGUGAACUUUAAAAGGCCUUGUUAUACCAAAGGGCGCCAAAUGGAGAAAUUGGGCUUCAUCAACGAUUCAAAUUCAUUGAUUUUAACAGCCUGGUUGCAAACUUUUAGCCAUAGCAUUGCAAUCAAUGUAUUUAUAAUCCAGUCUUCAACACUCACAAAUGCCAAUGUACACAGUUGUUUCUACGCUGAAACGUUUAAUCUGACAAUGAUUUGGUCAAUUUUUUUUUUUACUGGUUGACACUUCAAUUUUUUAAUGUUUGAUCAACCACUUUUCGAUACUUAAAAGCGAGGACCGAAUGGCACCUACACUUGGACUGGAUCGGACGGUUAUUUGGUCGAAUGGCUAGCGGCAAUAUUCAACUUUACGUAGGUAUUCGUUCGUGCUAAUUAAUCAAACUAUUGCGCAUAUGUACGGGACGCAUGAGGGUUUGUUCUAUCAACUCAUAAAUGAUGAGGGUAUCGACGGCGUGGCGAACUCUUUCUACUUAACGCUGGUUCGUGUAGCAAGGAUGGACUAUACCUUCCUCUCCUGACAUGGGGGGAUGGAUUUAGCCUUGUUGUGCCAUGUAUCAAGGAAUAAGAAGAACACUUUGAGUCCGUCUACCAUUGAUUCAGAAUUAAACAGCCAACCCAAAGAAGUAAGCAAUAUUUCGCAGCAAAGAAGUCUUUUUACUUGAUUUGGAUUUCAUAUGUUCUAUGUGAUGAACAUCAUGACGAAUCAAGGUGAUAAUCAAAUUUUUUUUGCACUUAAGAAAUUUUGGUUUAAUUCGAGGCAUUGGUACUGGACUUGGAUUCUUGACGUUUUUGAUUGAACAGAUUUAUUCAAACUAGAAGAAGCACAGACAUCGUAAGUUGGCGUUAAUUAAAAAAACAAUACUUCAGUUUGAUGGUAAGCUUGAUUAGUGGAUAAUUCAUUAGUAACUUUUUUUACAUUUUGAAAGUAAGCUUGAAUGUAGGAGAAAAGUAGUGUUAGAUAGUAGUGAAGCUUAGUUUCGUUUCUUGAAAAUUUCGCCAUCAACUGCAAGAAGUUAUAAUGAAUCUGUAGAAAUGUGUUGGUUUUCUUUGUUUUUCAGCAUCUGUGUUGAAUUCACCCAUCUGUC